GUCUAUGGCCAUGCUACCCCGAGUAAGUCCGAUCCGAUCUGAUCUCGGAAGCUAAGCAGAAUCGGGCCUGGUUAGUACUUGGAUGGGAGACCACCUAGGAAGACCAGGUGCUGUAGGUG
rnacentral:rRNA from 1 species